GGGGGGGGGGGGGGGGGGGGGGGAGGGGGGGGGGGCGAGGGCAUGGUCGGUCGGGGUGGCGUGGGGCGCGGAAGGAAAAUGAGUGGCGGACGGGGGGGUAACACGUGGGUAACCUGCCCAUCAGCGGGGGAUAACACUUGGAAACGGGUGCUAAUACCGCAUAAUUCCAUUUACCGCAUGGUAGAUGGAUGAAAGGCGCUGUGGCGUCACUGAUGGAUGGACCCGCGGUGCAUUAGCUAGUUGGUGGGGUAACGGCCUACCAAGGCUGCGAUGCAUAGCCGACCUGAUAGGGUGAUCGGCCACACUGGGACUGAGACACGGCCCAGACUCCUACGGGAGGCAGCAGUAGGGAAUCUUCGGCAAUGGACACAAGUCUGACCGAGCAACGCCGCGUGAGUGAAGAAGGUUUUCGGAUCGUAAAACUCUGUUGUUAGAGAAGAACAAGGAUGAGAGUGGAAAGUUCAUCCCUUGACGGUAUCUAACCAGAAAGCCACGGCUAACUACGUG
rnacentral:rRNA from 1 species